UCAUAGGCUUUCUGCAUAUCUGUUUUUAAAAUAAGGUUGAAACGUUUCUUACAUGCUCGCACUUUGAAUUGAUGCAUGACUUCUUGAACCACCAUAAUGUUGUCCUGUAUCUGUCUGUUGCUAAUAAAUGCUGCUUGCUCUGUGGAAAUCAAGUUUGAUAGCCAUGGUUUGAGUCUGUUGGCCAGAAUUUUUGAAAUGAUCUUGUAAGCAAAGUUACAAAGACUUAUAGGACGGAAUUGCUCAAUACUCUCUGGAUGCUGAACUUUAGGAAUUAGGGCUAUGAUCGUUCUGUUUAGUCUUGUUGGCAUAAUACCUGUAUCGAAAAAGUCAUGAACUGUUUGAAUAACUGUAUCUUUAAUAACAUUCCAGUGAUGCCGGUAGAAAAGGCCAGGGAGACCAUUAGGGCCCGGAGACUUCGAAGCUCCUAACUGGCAAGUGGCUAGGUAAAUCUCCUCCUCUGUUACUCUACGCUGCAAGUGUGCAUUCAUAUCAGGUGUUACUACCGGAGGGCACUGUUCUAAGAAAGGACGGAAAUUCCUGUAGCCCUGAGAUCUGUAAAGCUGAGAGAAAAAGCCCUGCGCAAGAUCUUUUAACUGAUCUGGUUCUCGGAUCCACUGAUGUUGAGAUUGUAAGUGUGAGAUGCGUUGAUGACCAUUGUUGAAUCGGCCCCUGCUCCAACUUGCUAACCUGGUGGCAACCGCCUGUAAUUUGGAUAACAAGGAGGGGACAGUGAUCGGAGCCAACAGGAGGUAGUGCAAAAACUUCUGCAGAAGGGUGAGAUGUCAGCCAUUCCAGUGAGCAGAACACCCGAUCGAGCUUCUCCUUUACGAGAG